AGCAGUAGCCGCGGUAAUACAGAGGGUGCGAGCGUUAAUCGGAUUUACUGGGCGUAAAGCGUGCGUAGGCGGCUAAUUGAGUCGGAUGUGAAAUCCCCGAGCUUUACUUGGGAAUUGCAUUCGAUACUGGUUAGCUAGAGUGUGGGAGAGGAUGGUAGAAUUCCAGGUGUAGCGGUGAAAUGCGUAGAGAUCUGGAGGAAUACCGAUGGCGAAGGCAGCCAUCUGGCCUAACACUGACGCUGAGGUACGAAAGCAUGGGGAGCAAACAGGAUUAGAUACCCCGGUAGUCCCUGUCUCUUAUAC
rnacentral:rRNA from 1 species